GGGUGGUUAGCUCAGCUGGUUAGAGCGCUUGCUUCACACGCAAGAGGCCGUUGGUUCGAGUCCAAUACUACCCA
rnacentral:tRNA from 1 species